GUUGAAAGCCGGGGAAUACUCUUUUUAGAAGGUUUUUAGCCUUCUAAAAAGGGAGGAAAGUCCGGACAGCCGAGAGCAGGGUGCUCCAACGUAAGUAGGAGGACUCUCCUGAUACCUAAUCGGGAGAGGACAGUAAGAACAACAGUGACGAUUCGGGUGGCGCCGAGUGAAACGACCAAGCGACUGGGUCCCCGACACAACGUCGGGAGGGUAAUCCUCCCCGCUGCAAUCUGCGAUCGGUUCGCUUGAGGUUGCUCUCCCGAGAACCGAGCCAGAGCAUUAGAAAGAUUUUCCCUAAACAGAAUCCGGCUUACGAGCUUUCAACCGCU
rnacentral:RNase_P_RNA from 1 species